rnacentral:lncRNA from 10 species
GCAGGGCCCUCUUUUUCUCUUCCUAAAGUUUCUCCCAAGAACACAGAGUCUCUCUCUCUCUCUGUUCUGAGGCACCUAAAGCUGGGGCUGGUAUGAUGUAUGAUACAAGCACCCCUAUGACCACCACCACCACUUCAGGUACUGGGUCACACCUGAAGCAAGCACAGUGCUGGGUCUUGCCCAAGGCCUGUCUUAAUCACUCCUUGGCUAUAGCCUAUAUUCACUCAAGGCCCUGGGGCUCUGCAAUUGGCAGGUAGAAAAGUCGGCUGGGCCUGUGUCCUUCUCUUCAGGGUGGCAAAGUCCCCCUGGCCACCAGUGGGUCCACAGAUGCCAUAGAGGAGUCAGGGACUAGAGUCAAAAAACUUAGAAAUCUACUUGGCAUUCUGUUGUACUGUGGCUGAGCUGGCACUCAAACCACAAGACACAAUCCUUCCCACUCUUUCCACUUUUUCCCCUUUCCAAAAGCUGAGGAGCCUUACCCCGUAGCCACCGCCACACCUGGCCAUGAGGAGUACUGCCAAAGUACCACCGAUGUUCCCUUAAGGACCAAGGGCUCUUAUAUCAGCUUGUGGUGAAUACUGCCUGGCCUGGGACUCACCCGUCAGGGCAGUGGGCUCCCCUUUGGCCAAGGGCAGGUCUAGAAAUGCUGUCCAAGAGUCAAGUCCUAGAAUUGGGAACCCAAAAGCCCACUUGGUGCUCUACCCCACAGUGGUGGUGUUGGUACCUAAGAUGCAAAACAAAGUCCCCUUUACUCUUCCUUCUGUUUUUAUCAAGUGGAAGGAGUUUUGCCCCAUAGCCACCACAGCUGGUAAUGUGCAUAGUCUCACCUGAAGCCAACAAGUCUCAGAAGCUCACCAAGGUCCUCAACGUAGUACCCGGGUAUCACUGCUGGUUAUUCAGGACCCAAGGGCUCUUCAGUUAGCAGAUGAUGAAUGCUGCCAGGACUGGGUCCUUUCCUUCAAGGCAGUGGGUUUCCUUCUGGCCCAGGGUGUAUCUAGAAAUGUCACCCCAGAGCUAGAACCUGGCACAAGGGCCUCAUGACCUCAAGGUGCCCUGUCCUUCUGUGGCAGAGCUGAUAAGCAAGAUGCAAGACAAACUCCUCCCAACUCUUCCCUCUCCUCUUCUCAAGUGGAAGGAAGGGGUUUCUUUUGGAUCCACAAGCUGUGCAGUCUCAGGUUAGGGGAGAGGUGAUGCCAACAUUCCCGUAGCUGCCCCAGCUGGUAUCUCAGUAUGUCCCAUGCCACUUCAGUCCAUUGUCUUUGGGCCUAGUUCAGCACUAGGACUCACCUAUGAGGUGCAGUCCUUAUGGCCUAGAUUACCUUUCCAAUUUACUUAGACAACAAGAGCACUGUGGCCUUUGGUACUGAGGUUUGCGGGCAGUCAGGUUUGGACUGCUGGUAUCAGUGAUUGCCCUCUGGCUGAGGCUGGUUGACAUGCCUUCUUUUGGGUGGACUUCAGCUUAGUUUGGUCAGGUUUUCCUUUUUGCUGCAACAAAAUGGCACUGAGUUCAGUGCCUCACAAUUGCUCUGUUCUCCCUUCACCAGCACCCAGAGAUGCUCUUGGCACCAAGCCAUGCUGCUGGGGUCAGGGAGGGGUGGCACCGGAGACUCGGAACUGUUUUUCUGUCUUUUCAGUGUCUCUUUCAGUGAUACGAGGUUAAAACCAGGUACUGUGAGUGCUCACCUGAUUUUUAGCUCUUAGGAAGAUGCUUUUUUCUGUGUAGUUGUUUGUUAACUUAGUAUCCUUGUGGUAGGGGUAGGAGGAUGAUCUGUGGAGUUUUCUGUUCUGCCGUCUUGUCUCACCUCCCUCCUAAAAAAAUAUUCUUAAAUGAGAUUGUAAUGUUUAUAUGAACUUGCACGAAGACAGACGUCUUGUGCUUGGAUCCUAGGUCUCUUACCGGUUUUGUAACAUUCUUCAACAUACUUAUAACUCUGUGCCUAUGAUUCCUUCUCUGUAAAAUGAAGAUAAGAAUAGUGUCAUAAUGGAUAUAAAACCUUUAAAACAGGACUAAACGCCAUGUAAGGUUAGGUGGUGGUAUUGUUACUAUUUAUCUUAUUUAUAUCAUAUUCUGUGGUGACCUGUCUGUAUUUGCGAAUACCUUUCAGUGAUAGGAAAUUAAUUCUACUUCUUGAUCCUAAUUCUACUCCCUGUCUGUUCCUAAUCUUGUUUUCCUUUGCUUCCUCUUUUCUCAUCUACUCAUAUUUUAUGCCUUCCUUCAUGCUUUACAUAACUUGUAGCCACCUUCAGUGUUUUUUUGGAAUAAAGUAGUGUAUGCAUACAUACAUAUAAAUCUUUGUUCCUAGAAUUUAGCACUGUUAGUGCAUGGUCUUUAUCUUGGAUGUUCAUAUAUUCUAGUUCCCAGAACAGUAACUUCUAGACCUUAAUAAAUUAUUUAUUGAAUGAACAAAGGAAUUAAUUACUUUGAAUUUGUGAGGUGUUGUAUAUGAUUAUUAUUUUAUUCCUAAAUCUUAUCAUUCUUUAGACCAAAAGGAUAUCCAGUUUGACAGUGUUCUUUUUUAAGAAUGAUGCUUAUAACUGAAUAUAAUAGUUCUUAUGGGAUUCGAUCAACAGAGAGUAACAGAGUAUUAUUGUGUUAUUUUAUUCUGUGUGUAUUUGUCUAUUACUGUACUUAAAAUACCAAACGGGAGGGGCAGUAUGACUUUGGACUCAUUUACCAUAAUAUUGAAGUCAAAUGUGUUGCUGUUAAAUCAGCUUUCUUUACCCAAUUCACAUUUGUGCUU